GCCACAUCACGUUGAAACAUUGGUUCCCAUACGAUCACCAAAGUUAAACAACGUCGAGCGUGGCCAGUACUUAGAUGGGUAACCACUUGGGAAUACCAGGUGCUGUAAGC